UACGUAGGUGGCAAGCGUUGUCCGGAUUUACUGGGCGUAAAGGAUGCGUAGGCGGACAUUUAAGUCAGAUGUGAAAUACCCGAGCUUAACUUGGGUGCUGCAUUUGAAACUGGGUGUCUAGAGUGCAGGAGAGGUAAGUGGAAUUCCUAGUGUAGCGGUGAAAUGCGUAGAGAUUAGGAAGAACACCAGUGGCGAAGGCGACUUACUGGACUGUAACUGACGCUGAGGCAUGAAAGCGUGGGGAACAAACAGG
rnacentral:rRNA from 1 species